AGUGAACGCUGGCGGUAGGCCUAACACAUGCAAGUCGAACGGCAGCACAGUAAGAGCUUGCUCUUACGGGUGGCGAGUGGCGGACGGGUGAGGAAUACAUCGGAAUCUACUUUUUCGUGGGGGAUAACGUAGGGAAACUUACGCUAAUACCGCAUACGACCUACGGGUGAAAGCAGGGGAUCUUCGGACCUUGCGCGAUUGAAUGAGCCGAUGUCGGAUUAGCUAGUUGGCGGGGUAAAGGCCCACCAAGGCGACGAUCCGUAGCUGGUCUGAGAGGAUGGUCAGCCACACUGGAACUGAGACACGGUCCAAGCUCCUACGGGAAGCAGCAGUGGGGAAUAUUGGACAAUGGGCGCAAGCCUGGUCCAGCCAUACCGCGUGGGUGAAGAAGGCCUUCGGGUUUUAAAGCCCUUUUGUUGGGGAAGAAAAGCAGCAGGUUAAUACCCCGCUGUUCUGACGGUACCCAAAGAAUAAGCACCGGCUAACUUCGUG
rnacentral:rRNA from 1 species